rnacentral:rRNA from 1 species
GACGAACGCUGGCGGCGUGCUUAACACAUGCAAGUCGAACGAAGUGGCGAACGGGUGAGUAACGCGUAAUCAACCUGCCCUUCAGAGGGGGACAACAGUUGGAAACGACUGCUAAUACCGCAUACUGAAGUCGGGGAUUGCGUCUGAUUAGCUCGUUGGAGGGGUAACGACCCACCAAGGCGAGGAUCCGUAGCCGGUCUGAGAGGAUGAAAGGCCACAUGGGGACUGAGACACGGCCCAGACUCCGACGGGAGGCAGCAGUGGGUAAGUGUCCGCAAGGGACGAAAGUCUGACGGAGCAACGCCGCGUGAGUGAUGACGGCCUUCGGGUUGUAAAGCUCUGUUAAUCGGGACGCGGUACCGGAAUAGAAAGCCACGGCGAACAACGUGCCAGCAGCCGCGUAAUUC